UCCCCGGUGGCACCGGACGGCUCUGUGGCUCGGCUGGAGCAGCAGCCUCGUCCUCGGCGCCGCCGUGCUGGCGCUGGGCUCCUGGGUUCACUACCUGCGGUUGGAGAAGCCGGGAAAUGUCACAGAUGGAUGCGGGGAUGUGACGCCAGCGGAUUACAGGGACGUGACGCCGGCGGAUUGUGGGGAUGCCGUGGCCCGUGACCGCCAGCACCUCCGGGAGUCCCUGUGCCCCCCGCAGGAGCAGGAUCCAGCAGAGGGUGAUGGAUGCCGGCUCUGCCCGCCGGGCUGGACACGGCGCGGGCGCAAGUGCUACUGGGUGGCCGACGGGGCCCAGUCCUGGGACAAGAGCCGGGAGAACUGCASUUCCCGGGACGCCGAGCUGCUGAUGCCGGAGGACUGCGAUGAGCUGGAGUUCGUAAAGGACAUCRCAAAGAAACCCUCUAAAUACUUCUGGAUCGACAUCUCUGGCCUGGAUCGGAGACGGAUGCGGCUCAACGGCUCCUGCCUGGAUCAGAGCGGGCUCCCGCCGGGCUCCAGCAAAGGCUGCAGGUCGCUGAAGGGCAACCGGAUCGUGGCCGAGGACUGCGGCUCCGCGAUCUCCUGGAUCUGCCAGAAAACCGCCAUCACCAUCUGAACCAGUUGGAAGCAGGCGCCGGAAGGGCCGGGAUCUCAGUGGGAAAGGCCAGGAUCUCGGCAGGGAGAUCCAACCCGUUCAGAGYGCCCCGGCCCUGCUCACAUCCCCUCCACCUCCGUCUUCCUCCCGAGCCAUCGCUGUCCUUGGCUUGCUCACGGCACGGAUAACGGAGGUGUAAAUAAAAGGAAAAAAAAAAAGGGAGAAUUAAAAGCG
rnacentral:lncRNA from 1 species